UACGUAGGUGGCAAGCGUUGUUCGGAAUUAUUGGGCGUAAAGGGCGCGUAGGCGGUUUGUUAAGUCAGCUGUGAAAGCCCGGGGCUCAACCCCGGAGGGUCAGCUGAUACUGGCAGACUAGAGUACAGAAGAGGUAACUGGAAUUCCCGGUGUAGCGGUGAAAUGCGUAGAUAUCGGGAAGAACACCCGUGGCUAAGGCGGCUCUCUAGUACGGUACUGACGCUGAGACGCGAAAGCGUGGGGAGCAAACAGG
rnacentral:rRNA from 1 species